UAUCUACAGGCUUAACACAUGCAAGUCGAGGGGCAGCAUGGUCUUAGCUUGCUAAGGCCGAUGGCGACCGGCGCACGGGUGAGUAACACGUAUCCAACCUGCCGUCUACUCUUGGACAGCCUUCUGAAAGGAAGAUUAAUACAAGAUGGCAUCAUGAGUCCGCAUGUUCACAUGAUUAAAGGUAUUCCGGUAGACGAUGGGGAUGCGUUCCAUUAGAUAGUAGGCGGGGUAACGGCCCACCUAGUCUUCGAUGGAUAGGGGUUCUGAGAGGAAGGUCCCCCACAUUGGAACUGAGACACGGUCCAAACUCCUACGGGAGGCAGCAGUGAGGAAUAUUGGUCAAUGGGCGAGAGCCUGAACCAGCCAAGUAGCGUGAAGGAUGACUGCCCUAUGGGUUGUAAACUUCUUUUAUAAAGGAAUAAAGUUGGGUAUGGAUACCCGUUUGCAUGUACUUUAUGAAUAAGGAUCGGCUAACUCCGUGCCAGCAGCCGCGGUAAUACGGAGGAUCCGAGCGUUAUCCGGAUUUAUUGGGUUUAAAGGGAGCGUAGAUGGAUGUUUAAGUCAGUUGUGAAAGUUUGCGGCUCAACCGUAAAAUUGCAGUUGAUACUGGAUAUCUUGAGUGCAGUUGAGGCAGGCGGAAUUCGUGGUGUAGCGGUGAAAUGCUUAGAUAUCACGAAGAACUCCGAUUGCGAAGGCAGCCUGCUAAGCUGCAACUGACAUUGAGGCUCGAAAGUGUGGGUAUCAAACAGGAUUAGAUACCCUGGUAGUCCACACGGUAAACGAUGAAUACUCGCUGUUUGCGAUAUACUGCAAGCGGCCAAGCGAAAGCGUUAAGUAUUCCACCUGGGGAGUACGCCGGCAACGGUGAAACUCAAAGGAAUUGACGGGGGCCCGCACAAGCGGAGGAACAUGUGGUUUAAUUCGAUGAUACGCGAGGAACCUUACCCGGGCUUAAAUUGCAGAUGAAUUACGGUGAAAGCCGUAAGCCGCAAGGCAUCUGUGAAGGUGCUGCAUGGUUGUCGUCAGCUCGUGCCGUGAGGUGUCGGCUUAAGUGCCAUAACGAGCGCAACCCUUGUUGUCAGUUACUAACAGGUUCCGCUGAGGACUCUGACAAGACUGCCAUCGUAAGAUGUGAGGAAGGUGGGGAUGACGUCAAAUCAGCACGGCCCUUACGUCCGGGGCUACACACGUGUUACAAUGGGGGGUACAGAGGGCCGCUACCACGCGAGUGGAUGCCAAUCCCCAAAACCUCUCUCAGUUCGGACUGGAGUCUGCAACCCGACUCCACGAAGCUGGAUUCGCUAGUAAUCGCGCAUCAGCCACGGCGCGGUGAAUACGUUCCCGGGCCUUGUACACACCGCCCGUCAAGCCAUGGGAGCCGGGGGUACCUGAAGUGCGUAACCGCGAGGAGCGCCCUAGGGUAAAACUGGUGACUGGGGCUAAGUCGU
rnacentral:rRNA from 1 species